AUACGGAGGAUGCGAGCGUUAUCCGGAUUUAUUGGGUUUAAAGGGAGCGUAGGUGGGAUAUUAAGUCAGCUGUGAAAGUUUGGGGCUCAACCUUAAAAUUGCAGUUGAUACUGGUUUCCUUGAGUACGGUACAGGUGGGCGGAAUUCGAGGUGUAGCGGUGAAAUGCUUAGAUAUCACGAAGAACUCCGAUCGCGAAGGCAGCUCACCGGGCCGGAACUGACACUGAUGCUCGAAAGUGCGGGGAUCAAACAGGAUUAGAUGCCCUGGUAGUCCGCACAGUAAACGAUGAAUACUCGCUGUUUGCGAUACACGGUAAGCGGCCAAGCGAAAGCGUUAAGUAUUCCACCUGGGGAGUACGCCGGCAACGGUGAAACUCAAAGGAAUUGACGGGG
rnacentral:rRNA from 1 species